rnacentral:ribozyme from 1 species
GAAAGGAAAAGGAGAAAAACGAUCCUUGUCAACUUUGUGAACAUUGUAAGUGAUUUCAUGUUUGAAUCAGUUCUUUUCUUUUCUUUUUAUUAUCUUUAGUGGCUACGAUUGAGCGU